CUGAGCUACAGAUUGGGACAACCUGACAAUCAGCUAUGGAAGGGACUCGCAGAUCUGUCAGAGCUGGGAGGGAGCACUGCUUUGCUUUUCCAACAUGAAUAUAAAUUAACCCCAUAGCUUCUCCAUCAACAGUUGGCUGUACCAUUGCUACAAUUUAAUGGAGAACAAUGCUUACUCCAGUGAAAGGUCACCAGAAUUCAAUUUCUGUCUCCUCUGCCUCAUUCUGAUCAAGUGACAAAAGACACACACCAUCACAUGUUUCUGGCCUGGUAUUUAAAUUCAUUGUCAAACUUGGAAAAGUCUAAUGGAGGUCACCAAGUUGGUUGGCGCUUGAAGACUUGUCCUGUGAGCAGAGCUGAAGGGAGCUGGGCUUGUUCAGCCUGGGUAAAGGACAGCUUCAGGAGGGUCCCACGGCAGCCUGGCCCUACCCACCUGGAGGGUAUUCAAGGAGCUGAGAUGGGCUCCCCAUGAUAAGGCACAGUAGGAGAAUGAGAGGCAGGGGUCAUAAAUUGAAAUAAUAGACUUCAGUUGGAUAUAGGAAAAGAAACUUCCUGAGGACAGUCACGAGACCACACUGCCUGGAGAGCUUCUUCAGUCUUGGAGAGUUCAAGGCCCACAUGGGUAAAGCUCUGAGCAGCCUGGCCUGAACUCACAGAUGACCCUGCUUGCAGCAAGAAGUUGGGCAGAGGGUAUCUGAAGUCUAUCCCAAAGUAGUUGUUUCUGUGAUUCUGCUUCCCUUUUCACAGCAGUUUGCCAGGAUUUCUAAGGAAUAUUCACUGUCUAAACAC
rnacentral:lncRNA from 1 species